rnacentral:piRNA from 1 species
AAGGGAAUAACUGGACUCAAUGUGUGAGC